UGCCGGGCUUCGGUCCGUAGUCCGGCGGGCGAGACGCACCGGGCUAGUCCUGCCGCAGCGCGCCGGUUCGCGGUUGCAGGACGAGCAGUGAAUAUCCGGCUACGCGCGUAGGGGCCUGGUCUGAAGUAUCCUGGGACGCGGGUUCGAUUCCCGCCGCCUCCACCA
rnacentral:tmRNA from 1 species